CUGGAUGGACUAUCUUAUUUUACUUCCUGUGAGAAAUGCAUACCAAAUUGUUUUAAAAAUUCGAUACACUGCAUACAUAUGCAAAAUUUGACGACCACACUCGAAUAGAAACCUGAGAGAUAAACACUUGAAUCAUACCUAUCUGUAAAUACAGCUUUGUCGAUGCAUUCUUAAUAAACUUUGUAUUUACGAGAAAAAUUUUGUGAUAAUUUUUAAUGCCAAAUCUAGUCCGCAUGCCAAAGUAAGGAAGUCUUGGUUUCCAAGUUUUUAUAAAUUUCCAAGUGCUCUGAGGAUAAGAAUAAAUUUCAUAGUCCAGACGAUAAUUUUUCAGGUACGUUUUUCCGACUUUUCUCAACAUAGGAUGAAACAACUGAAAUCUUUACAAUUGGGAAAGUUGCCGUUACGAGAUUAACAUUAGCAGGGUAGAAAUGAAGACCCAUCUCAGAAAUCAGUUUCCAAAUUUGCAGCAUUUUCGACAAGCAGAAGCAUCGUGGGGACAUCCGCAGCAGAAAUUUUGGCUUCAUGUUCAGAUUAUUAUUAAACUAAAUAAAAAAAUCCCUAAAUAAAACAAAAUAAUAAAAUACAAAUUUUUCAUGAAAUAAAAUGCCUUGUAAAAAACUGA